rnacentral:rRNA from 1 species
AUUGAACGCUGGCGGCAUGCCUUACACAUGCAAGUCGAACGGCAGCACGGACUUCGGUCUGGUGGCGAGUGGCGAACGGGUGAGUAAUAUAUCGGAACAUACCUUGUAGUGGGGGAUAACUAACCGAAAGGAUAGCUAAUACCGCAUACGCUCUACGGAGGAAAGUGGGGGAUCGCAAGAGCUCAUGCUAUAAGAGUGGCCGAUAUCUGAUUAGCUAGUUGGUGAGGUAAAGGCUCACCAAGGCGACGAUCAGUAGCUGGUCUGAGAGAACGGCCAGCCACACUGGAACUGGGACACGGUCCAGACUCCUACGGGAGGCAGCAGUGGGGAAUUUUGGACAAUGGGGGCAACCCUGAUCCAGCAAUGCCGCGUGAGUGAAGAAGGCCUUCGGGUUGUAAAGCUCUUUUGUCAGGGAAGAAACGGUUGUGGCUAAUAUCCAUGGCUAAUGACGGUACCUGAAGAAUAAGCACCGGCUAACUACGUGCCAGCCGCCGCUGUAA